UACAGAGGUCUCAAGCGUUGUUCGGAUUCAUUGGGCGUAAAGGGCGCGUAGGCUGCGGGGCAAGUCGGGUGUGAAAACUCGAGGCUCAACCUCGAGCUGUCGGUGGAAACUGUCUGGCUAGAGUCCGGAAGAGGAGAGUGGAAUUCCUGGUGUAGCGGUGAAAUGCGCAGAUAUCAGGAAGAACACCUAUGGCGAAGGCAGCUCUCUGGGACGGUACUGACGCUGAGACGCGAAAGCGUGGGGAGCGAACAGG
rnacentral:rRNA from 1 species